UCUCCCGUAGCCGGGCUCGAG
rnacentral:misc_RNA from 1 species